UUCUGGAAUCCAGAAAGUGGAGACAUGAUCACUGACCUAGAACAGCUGAGAAAACUAAAUAGGUUUUCAGUGUAUCCAGUCUACCACAGAGCUGGAACAGAAGUCAGGAUGAGACAAGAACAGGAAUUUAAGAAAACUUCAGAGGCUCUGCUGGCUUCCUCCUGCCCCACAUUCGGGCCAGAAGCAACGGGGCGGCCUUUCUUUCCUGACUUCUCGGAUCCCAAACUGGAGAGCUAGUGUGAGAAAACCAGUUUCAAGGAGAAGCUGAGUGGUUCUUCUUAACCGCAAGGCUAUUCUGAAUACAGAUGCGUUUGCAAAGGAAAGUUACAAGAAAACAAAGCUCUACUCCUCCCGUGAAA